rnacentral:rRNA from 1 species
CACGUAGGGGACGAGCGUUGUCCGGAUUCAUUGGGCGUAAAGCGCGCGUAGGCGGCUCGGAAAGUCGGUCGUGAAAUCCCCGGGCUCAACCCGGGAACUGCGUCCGAUACUGGAAGGCUUGAAUCCGGGAGAGGGAUGCGGAAUUCCAGGUGUAGCGGUGAAAUGCGUAGAUAUCUGGAGGAACACCGGUGGUGAAGGCGGCAUCCUGGACCGGUAUUGACGCUGAGGCGCGAAAGCCAGGGGAGCAAACGGG